rnacentral:rRNA from 1 species
GUGGGGAAUAUUGGGCAAUGGGGGGAACCCUGACCCAGCGACGCCGCGUGGGUGAAGAAAUCCUUCGGGAUGUAAAGCCCUGUUGUAUGGGAAGAGCGGAAGACGGUACCAUACGAGGAAGCCCCGGCAAACUACGUGCCAGCAGCCGCGGUAAUACGUAGGGGGCAAGCGUUGUCCGGAAUUACUGGGCGUAAAGCGCACGCAGGCUGAAUUAUAAGUCGGUAGUAAAAGGCGGGGGCUCAACUUCCGUAUAUCUAUCGAUACUGUAAAUCUAGAGUAUGUGAGAGGGAAGCGGAAUUCCCGGUGUAGUGGUGAAAUGCGUAGAUAUCGGGAGGAACACCAGUGGCGAAGGCGGCUUCCUGGCACAAUACUGACGCUCAUGUGCGAAAGCUAGGGCAGCGAACGGGAUUAGAAACCCUGGUAGUCCC